AAAAUGUUCAAAGAUUUCCCAAAAAUGUUGAAAAUGUGGACAUCAGAAGUUUCACUGUGAAAAUAUAUUUUUUUCCACAUUUUCAGACUUUAAAACGGGUCAAUUUUAUCCUGCAGGAUGACACGAGGGUUAAACUUAUUUUGAGUUUUCUUGUAAAAUUCAACUCAAAACAAGAUAGUUUCAAGAUUGUUUGACUUAACAAGAUAUUUAAGAUGCAUUGUCUUAAAACAAGUCCCUCCAUCUUGCUGAAAUGUCUCUUGUUAAGUGAAUUUAUCUUAAAUCGAGUGGGAUGAGACAUUUUGACUAAAAAUAAGACACAGACUUGGUAAGAUUUUGAGUUUUUGCAGUGUAUUUCUCGACUUUUCUUCCUGGUGUUGGCUGCAGCAGCUGUGUUGCUUUGAACCUGUGUCAUAGUUUUAAAUUCUUCAUAUUGGUUUGGGAUUACAGUUUGUCCUCUUGUGAGAAAUAUGUGGCUCUAAACAUGUCCAUGUUUGGUCAUCUGGUGCCAACACCUCCUCUUCGUGUCAACACCCUCAUAACCAGUUUGAGAAACCCUGGGCUGACUUACCCAGUUGAUCACCAGCUUCGUGAGACUGCUGAGCCUGACAGCGGUUGUUGGGUGUAGUGAAGCCCGAUACCCCACAGAUAUACUGUGUAAGAUGAGCCUGCUUUUCAUAGCACAGGCCUCUGAUGUCCCAACCUUGUUUACCUGUUGAAUGUGAACAUGAAUUAUGCUCUAACUUUGCUACAUUUCAAAUCAUCUUAAAUGUCCUACUCAACAAGUGACAUAUCAUUGAAAUCCUGCUGAUGUUGUCAACAAACUUUUUUUUUUUGUAGCGAUGGUAGAAAAGGUGUGGUGUAUAAUGGAUCAUCUUUUGUUCUGAUUCUCAGCUGGACUGAGAUUAAUUAAGCUGAGAAUCGGUUUUCCAGCUGUCAGUAGAGAAGCUCAUGCCCGUAGGUUGCAAAUAUAAUUGCGGAGGUACAUAAAACUCUGGAAUAUUUCCCAGCCACUUUAAACUCGGUAACUGGCGGACUGUAAUGCUUUUGUAAUGGAGGUUUUAUCUCACUGAAGCUUAGGGGCAAACACAAGAUCUCAGGUAUCCGCUGCUGCAUGAGUCACAUGCGAGACUGAACCAUAGUUGUAUGUUCUUCUUCCACCAUUGUUGCUUUUGGUUCUCUACUGUAUCUAUGGCAAUAAACUACUGAGUGCAG
ensembl:lncRNA